rnacentral:misc_RNA from 1 species
GAUGAAGAACGUAGCGAAAUGCGAUAAGUAAUGUGAAUUGCAGAAUUCAGUGAAUCAUCGAAUCUUUGAACGCACAUUGCGCCCCUUGGUAUUCCGAGGGGCAUGCCUGUUCGAGCGUCAUUAUAACCCCUCAAGCUCAGCUUGGUGUUGGGGCCUGCUGCACUGGCAGCCCUUAAAAUCAGUGGCGGCGCCAUCUGGCUCUAAGCGUAGUAAUUCUUCUCGCUAUGGAGUCCUGGUGGAUGCUUGCCAUCAACCCCCAAUUUUUCUAUGGUUGACCUCGGAUCAGGUAGGGAUACCCGCUGAACUUAAGCAUAUCAAUAAGCGGAUGA